UUGGUGUCCGUAAUCUGCAGCCGCAGAUUAGGAUGAAAAGGGAAUCAGGUGAAAAUCCUGAGCAGACACCGCUGCUGUAAGUUCCGCAAUAUCCUCUGAUAUUCAAGAGCCAUUGUCAAUUUUUUGAUGAGAAGGCAUCAGAGGGGGAACAAGCCAGAAGACCUGCCAAAAUCAUU
rnacentral:ncRNA from 1 species